GAUCCUGGCUCAGGAUGAACGCUAGCUACAGGCUUAACACAUGCAAGUCGAGGGGCAGCAUUUCAGUUUGCUUGCAAACUGGAGAUGGCGACCGGCGCACGGGUGAGUAACACGUAUCCAACCUGCCGAUAACUCGGGGAUAGCCUUUCGAAAGAAAGAUUAAUACCCGAUGGUAUAAUCAGACCGCACGGUCUUGUUAUUAAAGAACUUCGGUUAUCGAUGGGGAUGCGUUCCAUUAGGCAG
rnacentral:rRNA from 1 species